rnacentral:sRNA from 1 species
CUGGCCCAACAUAGAUCGGCCACACUAAUACAGCAUUAAAUCGGUUGGGAUAUGCGGGCACACUAUCCGCUGCCAAACCGCUAUAUAAGGCGCACCCCAGCCCUCUAGAAGUCAUUCAGUUCGGCCGGCGAUCGGCAAAAAGACCUCCAGGAAGAGGAGCUACCAGGAGCAGGAUCAGAGGCAGUGGGGAAAUUAUCGGCGACGUGACGCGACGACCGAGUAAGCGGCCAUCUCGGGAGUCCAGCACCCACCCGUAUCCAUCGCAGAGCUAUACAACCCCUCCAGGGACGAGACCAGGCACGCCCGAAUAAAGACCCAAUUAUUGUAUCA